rnacentral:rRNA from 1 species
UAUUGGUCAAUGGAGGCGAGUCUGAACCAGCCCAGUAGCGUGAAGGAUGACUGCCCUAUGGGUUGUAAACUUCUUUUAUAUGGGAAUAAAGUUUUCCACGUGUGGCAGUUUGUAUGUACCAUAUGAAUAAGGAUCGGCGAACUCCGUGCCAGCAGCCGCGGUAAUACGGAGGAUCCGAGCGUUAUCCGGAUUUCUUGGGUUUAAAGGGAGCGUAGGCGGGUUGUUAAGUCAGUUGUGAAAGUUUGCGGCUCAACCGUAAAAUUGCAGUUGAUACUGGCUGUCUUGAGUACAGUAGAGGUGGGCGGAAUUCGUGGUGUAGCGGUGAAAUGCUUAGAUAUCACGAAGAACUCCGAUUGCGAAGGCAGCUCACUAGACUGCAACUGACACUGAUGCUCGAAAGUGUGGGUAUCAAAC